GGCCUGGCUGGACGGUCCGCCCUUCGGGUGAGUACUGUCUGUGGUCGGGUCCUACCUUCUGGCGAAGCGUCAUGGCCUUAACCGGCCGUGGCGGGGAACCAGGACUUUUACUGUGAAAAAUUAGAGUGUUCAAAGCAGGCAAUCGCUUGGAUACAUUAGCAUGGAAUAAUGGAAUAGGACAAUGGUUCUAUUUGUUGGCUUCUAGGACCGUUGUAAUGAUUAAUAGGGAUAGUUGGG
rnacentral:rRNA from 2 species